AUUGAACGCUGGCGGCAUGCCUUACACAUGCAAGUCGAACGGCAGCACGGGAGCAAUCCUGGUGGCGAGUGGCGAACGGGUGAGUAAAGUAUCGGAACGUGCCCAGUCGUGUGGGAUAACGUAGCGAAAGUUACGCUAAUACCGCAUACGAUCUAUGGAUGAAAGCGGGGGAUCGCAAGACCUCGCGCGAUUGGAGCGGCCGAUAUCAGAUUAGGUAGUUGGUGGGGUAAAGGCUCACCAAGCCGACGAUCUGUAGCUGGUCUGAGAGGACGACCAGCCACACUGGGACUGAGACCAGGCCCAGACUCCUACGGGAGGCAGCAGUGGGGAAUUUUGGACAAUGGGCGAAAGCCUGAUCCAGCCAUGCCGCGUGCAGGAUGAAGGCCUUCGGGUUGUAAACUGCUUUUGUACGGAACGAAAAGGUUUGGCCUAAUAAGCUGAGCUCAUGACGGUACCGUAAGAAUAAGCACCGGCUAACUACGUGCCAGCCGCCGCCGUAA
rnacentral:rRNA from 1 species